rnacentral:lncRNA from 1 species
GGCGGGCAGAUCACGAGGUCAGGAGAUCAAGACCAUCCUGGCUAACACGGUGAAACCCCAUCUGUACUGAAAAUACAAAAAAUUAGCCAGGCGUGGUGGCGGGUGCCUGUAGUCCCAGCUACUCUGAAGGCUGAGGCAGGAGAAUGGCGUGAAUCCAGGAUGUGGAGCCUGCAGUGAGCAGAGAUCGUGCCGCUGCACUCCAGCCUGGGUGACAGAGCGAGACUCCGUCUCAACAACAACAACAAAAAAGAAUAUGCAUAGGGAAGGUUGGAACAGGUCCCAGAAUCUGAGCUCCUGUGGGGACUGCUGAGGAGUCAGGGCACAGAGCCUACUGGCACAUCAAUGUGUUCACCAACCAGGAAGCCUCACUGAACUUCAGUGUCCAGAAUUCCUAUUGGGGUUUUAUUGGGCUGAUAUCAACUGGGCCAAAGCUCCAACCCUCUAAUCACAUGGUUGAUCUUUCUGGUGUGGCUCACCCCCAUCCUGAUUCAUGUCCUUAGCAUAACCUAUCUAGAGGCCCACCAUGAGUCACCUCAUUAGUAUAAACCAUUAGGGCCUAUCAAGAAUAACAACUCCAAUAAUGGGAAAUUCCACAGAUUUUGAGUUUUUCAGGAACCAGGCCCUGUACAAGUCAGUGGAAAGUUGAUGGUGAAAAGACAGACAUGGACCCCUCUCUCCUGGUGCUUAGUGUGUUACACAGUGAGGCGCCUGCAGUGGUGACAGGAGCAUAGCAGCACAGCAGGAGCCAGCAGUUAAUCCACAAAUGUUUUCUGGAGAUCUGAGGAUGAGCUAGCUAGGGAAGAAGGGGGAAAGAAAGUUCUAGGCAGAGGGCAUCACAUGUGCAAAUGCCCAGAGGCAUGAAAGAGGUUGACUCAGUCAAGGGAUUGAAGAAAGUUCAGUGUCUAUAAGGAGAAACAGACUAUAAGGGGAAAAUGGCAGGGCGCAGUGGCUCACACCUGUAAUCCCAGCACUUUGGGAGGCAGAGGCGGGUGGAUCACCUGAGGUCAGGGGUUCAAGACCAGGCUGGCCAACAUGGUGAAACCCCAUCUCUACUAAAAAUACAAAAAUUAGCCAGGAGUGGUGGCACAUGCCAGUAAUCCCAGCUACUCGGGAGGCUGAGGCAGCAAAAUCACUUGAACCCGGGAGGUGGAGGUUGCAGUGAGCCAAGAUCAUGCCACUGCACUCCAGCCUGGGCGACAGAGCGAGACUCCGUCUCAAAACAUAAAAAAAAAAGACUAUAAGGGGAAAAUGAUGGGAUAUGGGGCUGAAAAGUUGCAGGGAAAGGACUGACAGGUAUAGAAUUGCUCCAAACACGAGGACACACUGGUCUUCCUCAGACACUAACUUCGUUAUAGCAGGCCUUUGUGUAUUGUGUAUCUACUGUGGCUACCACUGAUUGCCAGACAAUCCUAAGCAUCUCCCCAAGGCAGGUUUCUCAGCCGGGGACUAAGCUGGGUCACAAACUAGAUCUCAUUACAGGAUAUGAACUGUAGCACGCCCUAGCUCUUCCUGUUCAGGCUGAAGGCCCAGAAAGAAGGGCCAUGUUUUACCCAUUUUUAGACCCUCUCCUAAAGCCUAGUACAGGGCUAAAUACACAAAAUACUUCAUAGCUGGGUUUCUUAGUCUUUAGUCAAUGAGCUUGGAUAAAAAUUUCAUCUUUCUUUUUCCUUUUUUUUUUUUUGAGACGGAGUUUAGCUCUUGUCGCCCAGGCUAUGAUAUUUUGAGACAGGGUCUCCCUCUGUCACCCAGGCUAGAGUGCAGUGGCAUCUCGGCUCACCGCAGCCUCAACCUCCCGGCUCAAGCCAU